AAUUUUGGACAAUGGGGGCAACCCUGAUCCAGCCAGCCCGCGUGUGCGAUGAAGGCCUUCGGGUUGUAAAGCACUUUUGGCAGGGAAGAAAAGCCACCGGUUAAUACCUGGUGGUGCUGACGGUACCUGCAGAAUAAGCACCGGCUACCUACGUGACAGCAGCCGCGGUAAUACGUAGGGUGCAAGCGUUAAUCGGAAUUACUGGGCGUAAAGCGUGCGCAGGCAGUUCGGCAAGAAGGAUGUGAAAUCCCGGGGCUUAACCUCGGAACUGCAUUCUUAACUGCCGGGCUAGAGUAUGUCAGAGGGGGGUAGAAUUCCACGUGUAGCAGUGAAAUGCGUAGAGAUGUGGAGGAAUACCGAUGGCGAAGGCAGCCCCCUGGGAUGAUACUGACACUGAGGUGCGAAAGCGUGGGGAGCAAACA
rnacentral:rRNA from 1 species